rnacentral:rRNA from 1 species
UACGUAGGGGGCUAGCGUUGUCCGGAAUCAUUGGGCGUAAAGGGUGCGUAGGCGGCGCGGUAAGUCGGGUGUGAAAUCUCGGGGCUUAACUCCGAAACUGCAUUCGAUACUGCCGUGCUUGAGGACUGGAGAGGAGACUGGAAUUUACGGUGUAGCGGUGAAAUGCGUAGAUAUCGUAAGGAAGACCAGUGGCGAAGGCGGGUCUCUGGACAGUUCCUGACGCUGAGGCACGAAGGUCAGGGGAGCAAACGGG